rnacentral:rRNA from 1 species
UUUAUAUGAGAGUUUGAUCCUGGCUCAGGAUGAACGCCGGCGGUGUGCCUAAUACAUGCAAGUCGUACGCACUGGCCCAACUGAUUGAUGGUGCUUGCACCUGAUUGACGAUGGAUCACCAGUGAGUGGCGGACGGGUGAGUAACACGUAGGUAACCUGCCCCGGAGCGGGGGAUAACAUUUGGAAACAGAUGCUAAUACCGCAUAACAACAAAAGCCACAUGGCUUUUGUUUGAAAGAUGGCUUUGGCUAUCACUCUGGGAUGGACCUGCGGUGCAUUAGCUAGUUGGUAAGGUAACGGCUUACCAAGGCGAUGAUGCAUAGCCGAGUUGAGAGACUGAUCGGCCACAAUGGAACUGAGACACGGUCCAUACUCCUACGGGAGGCAGCAGUAGGGAAUCUUCCACAAUGGGCGCAAGCCUGAUGGAGCAACACCGCGUGAGUGAAGAAGGGUUUCGGCUCGUAAAGCUCUGUUGUUGGAGAAGAACGUGCGUGAGAGUAACUGUUCACGCAGUGACGGUAUCCAACCAGAAAGUCACGGCUAACUACGUGCCAGCAGCCGCGGUAAUACGUAGGUGGCAAGCGUUAUCCGGAUUUAUUGGGCGUAAAGCGAGCGCAGGCGGUUGCUUAGGUCUGAUGUGAAAGCCUUCGGCUUAACCGAAGAAGUGCAUCGGAAACCGGGC